GAUGACACUUAACAUAUAAGGGUCCAGCAACAAAAACCCCGGCUUAUACGGGGUUUUUUGUUAUCUAAGCAUUUGUAAAUGCCUUUAGAUGAUAAUGUUUGCUUGGAAUUUAAAUUGGGCUUUGAGCCCUUUUUUU
rfam:Vibrio splendidus 12B01 1099451319018, whole genome shotgun sequence.